CCUAAUGAUAAAGAAAUGUUUACUUGUGUUCAAAUAUAUAUCAAACAAACUCACCGUUUUGAUUAUAAAGUAUAAUUUAAAUUACCAUGUGGAUUAUUUGAAGGAGUGAUCACGAGUUUGACUGCACGUGAAGUGGAAGAUAUAUAAUAUGUGUCUGAUGGGUGUCUGCAGAAUGGUUCUCUUUGUAAUGCAUGCCAGUUUACUAUGUAAUUCCACUGUCCCUAGAAGGAUCCUACAGCUAUUCCUGUCCAGGGCCCCGUUCCACAAAAGAAUUAUAGCUAAAGUUAACUGUAGUGACUUAAGGUUUAACCUGCUCCAACCAUUUCUGGCAUUGUUAAGAGGAGCGGACGGGAUUUAACUCAAUCGGUUGAGUGCUCGCUUGAGGUGCUUGCGCCGAAGGAUCGAACCACCCCGGUGAAUC
rnacentral:lncRNA from 1 species